AUUUUAGGAGAUGAAACCUCCAAGGCUGUUAUAAAUAAGCUGUCUUGGAAAGUUCAUUCUCUGAAGGAACUGCCAUGGAAAGUCGAUCAAAUAAGGAUGAAUCUGACAUUCAUGAGCCAAAUUAUACAGCAGAUUGGAACAGUCUACCUCACAGAUGAGCUUGCCAAUAAUUGGAUCGGGGAGGUCCGGAAGGUGGCUUACCGUGUUGAAGAUGUAGUAGACAAAUACUCAUACCAUGUUUUUCAACUGACGCAAGAAGGGUUCCUGAAGUUCUUCAUCAAGGGAACCCAUAAUGACAUUGUUUUCAGCGCAAUUACAGAUGAGAUAGCUCAUAUUGAAGAGGAGAUUAACCAAGUUAUUCAUAUGAAGGAUAAGUGGUUACACCAAACACAGCUUGUCUCUAACAAUCAACAACUUGCUGAGAUUGAAAGGCAGCGGUCCCAAGAUGGUUUCCCAGAUUUUGUCAAAGAUGAAGAUCUAGUAGGAAUUGAAAAAAAUAGAAAAUUGCUGUCUGGAUGGCUGUACUCGGAUGAGCUGGAUAGCACCGUGAUAACAGUUUCGGGUAUGGGUGGGUUGGGAAAAUCUACCCUGGUAACAAAUCUUUAUGAACGUGAAAAGGUCAACUUCCCUGUGCAUGCUUGGAUUGUUGUGUCACAGAUCUGCCCGGCAGACGCUCUGUUGAGAAAGCUACUCUGGAAGAUUGGGAACAAGAGGGCAGUACACGACUUGAAUUGACAAAAUGGAUGUACACGACUUGAAGGCAGAAAUAAAGAAAAAACUCCAAAAUAGAAAAUGUUUGAUUGUAUUAGAUGACGUCUGGGAGCAAGAGGUAUACUUCAAAAUACAUGAUGCUUUCCAGAAUCACCAAGCAAGUCGUAUUAUACUUCAAAAUACAUGAUGCUUUCCAAAAUACAUGAUGCUUCGUUGGACCAGCACCUUGAGCUAGAACCAUUGGAUGGCCCUGAUGCAUUUGACCUUUUCUGCAGAAGGGCUUUUCACAACAACAAGGACCACAAAUGCCCCAAGGAGUUUGAGGAAAUUGCUACAUCUAUAGUGGAUAGGUGUCAUGGCCUGCCGCUGGCAAUUGUUACUAUAGGCAGCUUGUUGUCUUAUUUGGAAUACAUUAUUUGGAAUCAAACAUAUAAUCAGCUAAGGAGUGAGUUGUCAACAAAUGAUCAUGUCCGAGCAAUAUUAAACCUAAGCUAUCAUGAUCUAUCUGAAGACCUCAGAAAUUGCUUUUUGUAUUGUAGCUUGUUCCCUGAAGACUACCCCAUGUCACGAGAAAGCCUUGUGCGACUGUGGGUUGCAGAAGGCUUUGUUCUGAGCAAAGAAAAGAAUAAACAUUUGGAAUCAAACAUAUAAUCAGCUAAGCUUUUUGUACUGCAAAUUGUCAACAAAUUGCUUUUUGUACUGCAGCUAGUUCCCUGAAGACUACCCCAUGUCACGAGAAAGCCUCGUGCGGCUGUGGGUUGCAGAAGGCUUUGUUCUGAGCAGAGAAAAGAAUACACCAGAGGAGGUGGCUGAGGUAAAUCUCAUGGAACUGAUUCACCGCAAUAUGCUUGAAGUUGUGGACUGUGAUGAGCUCGCAAGAUGCAUAAUAUUAUGCGGGAUCUGGCACUCUCCAUUGCCAAAGAAGAAAAGUUUGGUUCUGCAAAUGAUUAUGAAGCAAUAAUACAGGUGGACCCACAUGUUCGCCGAUUGUCAUUAUGUAGGUGGAAAGUUAAUACUUCACUUAAGGUUAAAUUUCCACGUCUCAUGGAAUGAUUUCGUCCACCCAUGAUUUGUUACCCUCAAUUUUGUCUGAAUCAAAGCACUUGACUGUUCUAGAGCUGCAAGAUUCUAAUAUCACCGAGGUGCCCACAUCUAUAGGGAAUCUCUUUAAUCUGCGGUACAUUGGGUUAAGGCGCACCGAUGUCAAGUCACUCCCAGAGUCCAUUGAGAAUCUCUUGAAUCUCCACACUCUGGACAUCAAGCAAACCCAAAUAGAAAAGCUACCACGAGGUACUGUUAAUGUUAAGAAGUUGAGGGACCUUUUGGCCGACAGGUUCGCUGACGAAAUGCAGUCAGAUUUCAGAUUUUUUAUCGGAGUCGAAUCACCUGAAGGGCUGUCGAACCUGGAAGAACUGCGGACUCUAGAGACAGUGCAAGUGAGCAAAGACUUGGCUGAGCAGCUGAAGAAACUGAUGCAGCUCAGAAGCGUAUGGAUAGACAAUGUAAGUGCUUCUGAUUGUGCAAACCUUUUUGCGACCCUAUCGACGAUGCCACUUCUUUCCAGCCUGCUUAUCUCUGCAAGAGAUGUGAAUGAGACACUUUGCCUCCAAGCCCUUGAUCCGAUUUCCACAAAGCUCCACAGGUUAAUUGUAAGGGGCCAGUGGGCUUCUGGGACACUGAAGUAUCCGAUAUUUCGCAAUCAUGGGGAACAUCUCAAAUAUUUAGCGUUAAGCUGGUGUCAGCUUGGAGAAGAUCCAUUGGGUGUGCUCGCUCCACACGUGCCAAAUCUCACCUAUUUAAGUCUUAACAGGGUGAAUAGUGCAAGCACUUUGGUUCUUUCUGCUGGGUGCUUUCCUCACCUGAAGACGCUCGUCUUGAAGCGAAUGCCGGAUGUCAAGCAGAUGGAAAUCGGAGAUGGUGCUCUUCCACGUAUUGAAGGUCUUUACAUUGUGUCCCUAGCACAGCUGGAUAAGGUUCCUCAAGGCAUCGAGUUGCUUCUUUCUCUGAAGAGGCUUUGGCUGCUGUACCUGCACGAUGAGUUUAAAACUCUGUGGCAAACGAGUGGGAUGCACCAGAAGAUGCAGCACGUUCCAGAGAUUCGUAUCUAGGACAACUAGAUGGUAAAUUCUCCAUUGGUAUGCUUGUAUGAUGUGUCUGCUCAGAACUGUGUUUGUUGGGCACUUUAUCCCUUUUUAUUCCAAUAAGCCAUGAAUUCUUCCUUUUGAUUUUUUUUAUUGUACAUUGAAACACCCAUGUAUGUGCUGUGUGUUGGUUCAGUUGCUUUAGGAAUACUACUUUUGUUCAAGAACACUUCCCUUCUGUAUUUAACUUUUGUAAAUGAUGUUAUGAUCAACAGAUUUUGUGCAUGUGAGGUGCAUAAUAUGUGAACUUACAAACCAGCAGAAUAUUCAUAAUUUCAGGGCGUUUACUUUAUUUAUAUGCUACUAAAUUGAACAGUGCUCUUCACUUUGCCACUAACUUUUUGCUUUUCAUUUUUUAUGCUGUUAUUCCAGAUGGUGCUUCUAGAAAGUUCAAUUUCUCGUAAUUCUCAGUCAAUUUUCCAUUAGCACCCAAAAAUACUGAAAAAUCCUUCAGAAAAAGCUCCAAAAAAUGUAGAAAAUUAUUUUGAACUAAGAAAAAUAGUGAAAGCCUGAAAGGUACUCCCCCCACACACACGCACACCCCAAACGAUGAAAGAACGUCGUAAACUCUUAAUCACUGAAAAAAUAUUUUCUAAAACAAUAUGUGCAGAGAAAACUAUCCUACAAAUUUACUUUUGUUGAAAUGUGUACGUUUCGAUCUUUACCAGCUCUUAUGGAAAAUCCUUUUUAAAGGAUUUCUACUAUAUUGUUUUUCUUCAAAGAUGAUAUAAAAAAUUUGUUUAAAUGGUCCGGGUUUUUUCAUGCUCUUUUUUACAUUUCCUAUGAUAUUUCAUGAGCUUUCUGUGAUCUUUAGCACAUUCUUUUACGUAUUUUUAGAGACCAUGUAGAUGAGCUUUCGCAAUAGAAUCAAAGUUGUGAUAGCAUGUUUAUUACUUGCAUUCUAAGGAAAUAGUGCCAUGAAUAAAUGAGAUGUGCUAAACUUCACAUGGCCAAGUUAAGAGCAUUGUUUGAGUUGAUGUUAUAAAGUAAAUGAUCUCGUAGAAAAAUAAAACAUUUGGGCACUAAGACACAUACUUUAUAAAAAUAAGUUCCUUUAGGAAACUAAAGGUUAUUACAAAUGAACUUCCUUUUGGUAGAUUUAUUCAUCAAUAAAGACAUUAUGUAAAUCACAAUCAAUUAAGACUUUGCAAAAACAGUUGGAAGACCUUUCUACGUGUUUUCUUCCUUUUUGAUUUUGCUUAUAAAAGAUGAUAGUUUGUUAGGGGAACUCACCUAAUAAUAUUUACAUGAUGCCAAAUAUCUAAGCUGUUCGAUUGGGCGUUUCGAGUGCAAUCAGAUGAGAUCCCACAUUGUAAGGGACUACAUUGGUCCUCUUCUGAUCAAGACACCGUCGAGAGCUCCGAUCCGCCGUGGCCCCUCCCUUUGUCCCGAUGAUGGCUCCGCCGCCGCCGGCCGGAUACUCUGGCGCUGUACGUCUUGGUGGUGCCGAGCCGAGGCGAUCGACUGCAGGGAUCUGGAACGGCAAGCGGCCAAGCCUACCUCAUCGCCCUGCCGCCGCUGCCCGCUGGAGUCGAUGAAACCCAUGGUUGAAGAGCGGGAAGGCGAGGUCCUACUACUCGACCGGCCGACCCCUCCCACCACUGAACUUUGGUUUGGAUCAGAACUCAGGUGAUCGCCCACUUCCAUCUCUCCUAUGUAUUCCUUUUCCAUUUGUUCCAAUAAAACACUAUUAUUGAACUGAAACCAUCUCCCAAACGAACUGAACAAAUCUCCUAAGAAAUCCAGCAAACAACGGUGCAUUUGCAUUCCAUUACCCGUCAUUCCGUUGUGUGUAUGAAGUAAUAAUCCGUAGCAGGCCUCAGGUUUCCGAAUGUCAUAUGUUCAUUGACAUCUUGGAUAGCAUAAUUAUCAAACGAACUAUGUUCACUUUAAUACAGAUUCUAAAUGGGGGAAAACAUGUAGACAUGCAGAAAGGUGCAGGAAAUACUCCUGGUUUACAAGAAAAUGAUACAACACUUGCAACCUAUGAGGCUAUUACUGAAUUCAAAUACGAUGGAAAAAGUAUUGUAGCUAUAACUCAAGAGUGGAGUAAUUUAGACAAUGGAAUGAUAAGAUACUUCAAUGAUCAUUAAGGAAGGAAAUUUUAUGACUUGAGAUGGACCACCUUGAAAUAUUCUUCAUAGUAGUCUGGCGAACCAAAUUAUGUAGUAACUCUACUAGCUCACGAGAAUCCUCCACUGAAUGUUUCACCUUUUGCUCAAAAAAAAGGGCAUCAUAAACCAUGGGGACCUAUCUUUGGGUAGAAGUACAUGGAUCAAUUUUAAAUUUUUAUUUUCACUUAUCUUUAAUUUGCAGUUAUUGCCUUGUGCUAUGAAAUUCAGGUGCUAAAAAAUUUAUUAAUUUUAGAGUUAGUGUUAGAGUUUUAUUUGUUUCUGUAAAGGUGAGGCCGAUAUCCCUAAAGGUACAACAACUUUAUUUAACCAACUCUUUUUUUGCAUAAAAUGGGCGACAGUAGUCAGAGCAAGUGGUUGAUCAUCACAUUUAUUUAAAAUUGCUGCUGAAUCAGGCUGCAAGUAAUCUGAAUAUUCCCCUGGACAAGCAUUUCUCAGAAACAAUUGCUUUGAGUGUUUCUCAUCAAGUCUUCUCAUUUUGUGUAUGUAACCGUGGGUUGAGCUGCAGGUAUUGGCUACUGACUGGAUUUUUGUUGUCACCACUAUUCUACUGCUAACAUCUCGAGGGAAGGCAGACUUUACGAUACUCCAUUGAUCUGACCUCAUGCCAUCAAUUACGAUGAAGUACCUGGAAUAUUUAGAAAUGAGGAUAUAAAAGUUAUCAAAGAGUUAUUCUGCAACAACAGUAAACUAAUGGGUCAAGGAAGAAAGAACAGUUUUCUUAUUGGACUGCAUUGAGCAUCACAUAUAUAACAUAUAUAUAAUUUCUGUAGUUUAAAGGAAUAACUGAUGUUUACUGAUAUAUGCUUUCAAAGAAUAACAUACAUAUGCUUUAAGUAGUGACAUAUUCACACUUGGAGUAUAUAAUAUGGCCCAAAUUAGCAACUGAUUUAUGCAGUUCUUUCAGAUCCCUUUAGUUUUCUUAGCUAUUUCAGAAAUUUCCUUCCGCUUAUCAUUCACCCAGUAUAGGGAGCACAUAUUUCUACAUGUCACUUCCCAAAGAGAAGUCUCCUUUUCUUUUCUCCUUAUACUAGAAGUCUCAGACAUUAGAUUCAAAGUGUUUGUAGGUAGUUCAACUGAGUGCAUGAAUCUUUUCUGAAUCCUCAACAUGUUCUGUACGAGAAACUAUCUGAAUCUUUCAUUUCUCAUAGCCGAUGUCUUUCCUGACUAUCUAUGUUUAUGGAAAGAAUUUCAUUUCGAUGAUAACAUUCAGUAAUCAGACUAAUGAGUAAAGUACUAUUUUCAUUUUGCUAAAGGAUGGUAGACAGUUUCUACCUCUUGUUAUUCAGGAAGUUGCAAAGAUCAGCACUGUGUUAGGAUCUGAACUGUAACUCUCAUCGAGAGGAUGGCACUAGGAAGAGUUGGGGCAAUUUUCUGGAUUUUCUUUCCACAAUACCAUGUCCAACCAAGGGUUGGGGAUACAUAUUUAUAGCUGGCCUGGCAGCCAACCAGCCAAGCAUCAAGGCAUAUGCUAGUCUAAGAUGCCUUUGAUGCUGUCCUAUCUAGUCUAAGAUGCCUAUGACUGUCUUACCCUAAAAGUAGUCAACAAAGUGGUGCUGCAGCAAGCAUAUGCUGCAGCCCCACUGUCCUCCAGUCAAAAACAGCUGCAGUCCCACAAGGACCAGCAGCACAAGACCAAGUACAGCAGCUGGUCCUUGAAGACCAGCAGGACUAGUACAGCAGCUGGUCCUUGAAGACCAGCAGGACCAGUACAGCAGCUGGUCCUUGAAGACCAGCAGCAAGACUUAUCCAGCAUUCUUCCCCUAAGUCUUGUGCGUCGUCUUGUGGGAAAGUUGGACCAUCCCGGUCCUGGAACAGAGCUCAAGGAACUUGAUCCUCCCAAGGGGCUUGGUGAUUAGAUCCGCAAGCUGAUCCUUGGUGUUGAUAGAGCUCGCCUUGAUGCUUGCUUCCUCCAAACAGCCUCGGAUGAAGUGAUACCUCACCCGGAUGUGCUUGCUCCGCUCAUGAAAAACGGGGUUCUUUGCCAGGGCCAGAGCGAACUUGCUGUCCACCCUAAGCUCCACCGCUCUAGUGUCUCUGCCAAGGAGAUCACCGAGCAGUCGGGCAAGCCAAAGCGCCUGAGUCGAAGCAAUGGAGGCCGCUAUGUACUUGGCCUCGCAGCUGGACAGCGCCACCACCUGCUGCUUGACCGACUGCCAGCUAAUGAGGCACUUGCUGAGGAAGAAGAGAAUCCCGCUCGUGCUCUUGCUAGUGUCGAUGUCGCCGGCGUGGUCGCUGUCGCUGUACCCGACGAAGUGUGCCGCCCCGGGACACCUCGGGUAGAAGAGAUCAUGGUCGAGGGUCCCCGCAACAUAGCGGACGAUCCUCUUCACGGCCUACUGGUGCUCCAUCGUCGGUCGCUGCAUGAACCGACUGACGUAGCCGACGGAGAAUGCCAAGUCCGGUCGUGUGUGGGCGAGGUAGUGAAGGCUCCGCACAAGAUGCCAGUACUGCGUAGGAUCUACCUCCUCCGUCGUGCUGUCGCGGCUCAGCUUCAGCCUCUCCUCCAUCGGAGUGAGAGCUGGGUUGCAGUUGGUGAGCCCGGCUAGCUCCACGACGCGCUUGGCGUAGGCGGUCUGUCGAAGCGUGAUCCCGGAAUCAUCCUGGUGCACCUCGAUCCCCAGGUAGAAGGAGAGAGGCCCUAGAUCACUCAUCUGGGAGGUGGCCUUCAUUUCUUCCUUGAACGCCGCCACCUCCGCAUCCUUGGUGCCUAUGAUCACCAAGUCGUCGACGUAGACACCUACCAGCAAGGCAUUUUCUCCAGUGCCCCGCCAGUAGAUGGCCGCCUUGUGCGGGCUUUGCUCGAAGCCCAUCCCUUUGAGCGUGGAAUCCAACUUGGCAUUCCACGCCCUCGAUGCCUGCCGCAGGCCAUAGAGGGCCUUGCGCAAGCGUAGCACCUUGCCUUCCUUGUUGGGGAUCGCAAAACCCGGCAGCUGGUGCACGUAGACCUCCUCCUUCAAGUCGUCGUUAAGAAACGCCGACUUGACGUCCAUAUGAUGAACGCGCCAGCCUUCCUGGGUGGCCAUCGCAAGGAGGAGUCGCACGGACUCCAUCCGUGCCACGGGGGCGAAAGCAUCGUCGAAGUCGAUCCCCUCUUGCUGCACGAACCCACGUGCUACCAAGCGAGCUUUCUGCUUGACGAUGGCACCGGCUUCAUCCCUCUUCAGCUUGAACACCCACUUAAUCGCACGGUGGCCACGAGGGAGGUCAGCAAGCUCCCAGGUGCGGUUCUUCUCAACCACGUCCAUCUCCGACUGCAUCGCGGCGUGCCAUGCCGCGUGUCUCUCGGCCUCCGCGAAAGAUCGAGGCUCGCCAUCAUCGCACACAAGGUGCAACUGUGCCUCCAGGUUGUGAGGCACCAGUCCUGGCACCGGCUGGUCGCCGAGGAGAUCUUCCAUCGUACGGUACCGCAACUGCUCGCCGUCGUGGUACACGUCGAUGCGCUCCUCGUCGUGAGAGAGCGGAGUAGCGAACUCCACCGGGCUGUGCUUGACAUGAGCUGGUGUCGGAGUAAACGUGCCCGGAGGGAUGGCCGUCAGUGCUGGAAUACGUGGCGUCGCCGGCUGUGGUGGUGCCGGCGAGAAUCUCGUCGCAGCCAAAGUCGCGGCUGGAGAGCGUGGCGCUGCCGGAGUAGCAGGCAUCGGAGUCGGUGGAGGUUCAGGGAUUGGGGUAGGCACACUCGGCGAAGAAGAGCUGCCUACUCCCCCAGCUUCCUCAAAGUGGAUGUACUCGACACUGAAGUUGUCGUACGUCGGAGUCAAGCUGUCGUCCACCGCCUUGUCCCACGCCCAUCCUCACCCUUCGUCGAACACAACAUCGCGCGCUGUGCGCACACGCUGUGUCUCCGGGUCGAGAAUGCGGUAGGCCUUCAAACCCUCCGCGUAGCCGAUGAACACUCCUGGAGUGCUCCUGUUGUCAAGCUUGCCGAUGUGGCCAAGCUCCUUGGCAAACGCGAGGCAACUGAAGACCCGCAGGUGGGACACCGCCGGCUUGGACCCAUGCCAAGCCUCGUAUGGCGUCCUGCCGUCGAGCACCUUGGUGGGUGAGCGGUUGAGGAUAUAGACAGCCGUCACCACCGUCUCUCCCCAGAGAACAGCCGGCAUCCCUAUCUGCUUGAGGAGGGCCUGAGUCAUCCCGACAACCAUCUGGUUGUGCUGCUCGACGAUGCCAUUCUGCUGCGGGCUGUACGGCACGGAGUAGUGGCGCUGAAUGCCCUCAUCAGCGUAGUACGACGCGAACUCAGCCGCCAUGAAUUCGCCGCCGUUGUCAGUGCGCAGCACGCGCAGCUUGCGGCCGCACUCCGCCUCCGCAGCAGCCUGCGUGCGCCUGAUGGCGUUCGCAGCCUCCCCCUUGCUGCCAAGGACCAUCACCCACAUGUAGCGGGAGAGGUCGUCGACGAGCAGCAAGAAGUAGCGUCGUCCUCCGGGUGUGGCCGGUGUCACCGGGCCACACAAGUCCCCGUGCAUAAGCUCGAGCCACUCCUUGGCUUGGAAGCUCGCGUGCUGGGGAAAGGGGAGCCGCCUCUGCUUUGUCAACACACAGACAUCGCAGAACUGCUCCACGUGAUCGAGACAUGGUAGGCCUCGCACCAUCUCCUUGGCAUUGAGCCGCUUCAGGGCCUCGAAGUGAAGGUGCCCGAAGCGCUCGUGCCACUGCCACGCCUUGUCAUCCUAAUGAGUAGCGAGGCAGCAGGGUUGUGCCACCUGCACAUUAAGGAUGUAGAGUCGAUUUGCGCCUCUGGUUACCUUGGCAAGAAGGCGACGACGACGGUCCCAAAUCUUCAUGACUCCGUCGUCGAUCACCACGCAUGAACCGUUCUCUUCCAGCUGUCCCAAGCUGAUGAUAGAGUUUCUCGGCGUGGGGAUGUAGUACACUCCGGUGAGUAGCCUGUGCUCUCCAGACUCGACGGUGAAGAUGACGGAGCCGACGCCCUUGAUCUCUACGCCGGAGGCAUCCCCAAACUUGACGGUGCCUCAGACGCUAGAGUCAAGCUCGGUGAAGAACUCCCGCCGACCAGUCAUGUGCUGGGUAGCGCCGGUGUCGAGGCACCACCCCUCAGUCUUAUCGUUGCUGGAGCCAUCGCUGAGGAAGGCGUGUGCCCUCGGCUCGUCAAGGUGGAGGAGAACCGCUGCGGCCGAUGCCGCUGGAGUUAGCUCGAUGCUUGCAUGUGCCAGGAGCAGAGCCGGCUCCUCCUCCUCCGCUAGUGCGACGUGAGCCUGGCCGCGUCUUGGCUAUUGAUAGUCCUUGGCCUAAUGGCCAAGCUUGCCACAGUUGCGGCACGCGUCGUCUCGUGGCGGCGUGUGCUCGCCAGCGGCACCACCCGAGGCACCUCCUCGCACGCCGCCAGCACCACCCUAAGCGCGUCCUCGCGUGCCGCCCUCGGCGCCUCCUCGUGCCUUGGGCGCCUUGCGUGGCUUGCCGCGCCUGCAGCUGCCUGUCGAGAAAGAAGGCUCCCCCUUCGUCCUAUCACCUUGGCGGGCCUCCCACUGCUCUUGAGUGCAAUGGAGCUUCUCGCCAAUGAUGACAGGCCUUGAGGGAGGCUGUGACUCGUCGCUGUCGACGACCUUGAGGCGGCCUAUCGCCUCCUCAAUCGACAUCCUGGAGAGGUCUAGCAGAGACUCGAUCGAGCGAGCGAUCUGCUUGUACUUCUCAGGUACGCAGCGGAGGAGCUUCUUGACAGCUCUCUAUCCGUAGGUGUCGUCGCCGUACUGCACCAUCUUCUACAACAGAGUGUUGAGAUGAAGAGCAAAGCCAUCAACGUCCUCACCUGGCUUGAAGGCCAGGUUCUCCCAUUCCUUGCGAAGUGCCUGCAGUGUAGACUUGCGGGCGCGGUCGCUGCCGAUGCGUGCCGCAGUGAUAGCGUCCUAAGCCUCUUUGGCAGUCCGCUUCUGGGAAAGCAAGAACUGCAUCUCGAGCGAGACUGCAGCGAUGAGGGCAUCCAGCGCCCGUCGAUCCUCAUCGUAGUCGACGUCACCGUACCGGACUGCCUCCCACAUGUGCCGCACCUAUAGCCUCACUCUCAUCACCGCGACCCACUCGACGUAGUUGGUCUUGGUGAGGGUAGGCCACCCACCACGGGGCCGACUUCCCUGACAACAGCCUGGGCCCCGUGGCGACCAUGACGGCGGUCCGGGACGGGAGAGCUGCGCUCCCUGUAAGGGCCGCGCUCUCCGUCGACCCGGCCGCCGCGCCGCCGAUCGAACUCCAUCUCAGCCUCCAGCUGGGCAGCCCUCUCCCGCAAUCGCUGGGCCUCCAGUGCGAGAUCGAUGUGUGGGUCGCCCUGGGGGUCGCGGCCACCAUGUCCGCCAGGAACACGGUCGUCGCACGCGCCCCCGCCGGGAGCGCCGCCGGCGCGUGCACGCCCAUCUAGGCUGCCGCCGCCGCGCCCGCGUGGGUGCACGACUGCCCACUGCACCGCCCGUUCCUGCGUCGCCUCCCUUGCUAGCACGAGCUCUACGUCGGUAUCGCCAUCGGCAGAGGUAGCGCUGCUGAUGCUACCACCACGUAGAGUCUCGAGCUCCGCUGCCGCCGCACGUGCGACAUCUGCCGCCGCCGCCGCUUCCGCUUCCGCCCUCGCUGCAGCCAGCUCCGCUGCCACCAGCCUCGACGCCCUUGCCGCCACCACAGCGGUCUCUGCCGCCACUCGGGUACGCUCCUCUGCCGCAGCGAGCUCGGCCUCCUACCGACGCCGCGCGCUCGAGGCGACUGAGUGCUGAGACUGUCCUACGGACAUGGCACGCCACCGGGGGGCUACGUGGGGAAGAGGCUACUUCCGAAGGAGCUGCUGCUCGUCUGCGUAGGAGGAGAGGAGUGAACAGGGACAACCGGUGUUUCUGCUACCGGCUGGGGACGAAGGGUGGCUGGGGAGGGAUGUGAGCAGGAGAUGUUCAAGUUACAGGAUAGUACGGCUCUGAUACCAGUUGUUAGGAUCUGAACUGUAACUCUCAUCGAGAGGAUGGCACUAGGAAGAGUUGGGGCAAUUUUCUGAGUUUUCUUUCCACAAUACCAUGUCCAACCAAGUGUUGAGGAUACAUAUUUAUAGCUGGCCUAGCAGCCAACCAGCCAAGCAUCAAGGCAUAUACUAGUCUAAGAUGCCUUUGAUAUUGUACUUUGAUGCUGUCCUAUCUAGUCUAAGAUGUCUAGGACUGUCCUACCCUAAAAGUAGUCAACAAAGUGGUGCUGCAGCAAGCAUAUGCUGCAGCCCCAUUGUCCUCCAGUCAAAAACAGCUGCACUCCCACAAGGACCAGCAGCACAAGACCAAGUACAGCAGCUGAUCCUUGAAGACCAGCAGGACCAGUACAACAGCUGAUCCUUGAAGACCAGCAGCAAGACUUAUCCACCGCACUAAGCUGAUUGACAUUGGAGGUAACCAGAUCUGGCUUGUUCAGUUGACGGAGUAUCUCACUUAAGAGCUCCCCUGGAUCCCCAUGCGUCCCAUAAACCCAUGCCCUUUCCUCAAACUGCUUGCCAAUCUCGCUGUUGUACAACUCCCGGGCAAGGAUGGUCUUCCCCAAUCCAGAGAACCCAACUAUGGAGAUCACCCUCAGCUGCUUAGGUUGACCCUCCGCUUCCGCCAACUGCUCCAGAAGCUCCUCCAGGGGAGCAUCGAUGCCAACCAGAUCACCAGGAAGGACAUGCUGAUCCCAGGAUGAUUGUGCCAGCUGGAUGAGGAUGAAUGGGACACUGAAUACCUCUGCUGCCGCUGGAGUGCUUCCUCCAGUCUGUACCUAAGGUGCUGCAUCUCUUCGCCUAACUAGGAACGUGAUUUUCUCUUUCUCCCAGAUUUCAUAUAUUUAGAGUACCAUGGUUGCUGAUCCCAAGACGCAUCAUACAUGAUGUGGUCUAUACAAUCCUCCAUUUCAUGAGCUACAUGACGCAAUUCUUCAACCGAUAAACGCAGUAUGUGAUCAUCCUGCCCCAAGAGCUGCCCGUCAAUGGCACUAGUGAUCAUGGGAAGCUCUCUCAUCAGGAAAGUCACAUCUCCUUCAAAGCCCUUGUACAGCUUGUAUUUCUCCUCCACCAGCGAGAACAAUCUCGACACGAGGUUGUCUACAAAUGCACUCAACAGGCCAGGGUCCUCCAUCGAUCACAAUGGUUGUUAGCUAGGCACUGACGGUUCCUACUUCCUAGUGAGGAGAUAAAGUGCUCCCUGUCUUGCAAUGUAACAAUGGGGUGGAUAAAACAGACAUGGAGCACAUGGACCUUAAGGAGCAUCUUGUAGCAGGGGAGGAGACCACAUCUGGCUUUUCCUCUGACAGUAAAUUGCAGUUGUUAGCAGCACUUUUUACAUUAAAUAUAUCAUAAGUAUGAAGCCAUAUUAAAUUAGUAUUAAGUCCAGCACAGAAAUGCAAUGGUUAUAUGUAGUCAAUACUUCCAAUGAUUUUAUUACAGUGCCGAUGCUUAUGUAGAAACACUGAUAUUCACACUGUAACCCCUGAAAAUAAAAAUUGUACAGUGACAAGGAUGGAUCAUUGCAGAAAAGCUAUAGGGAUCAAAACUACUAUACUUUUCUAAAGAUGCAGUAGUAAGGUGGAAUAGUGCAGUGUGGAAGGGGGAGGAGAGCAGGAUUUGUGGAGCUUAGUUGCAACUGUAAACUCCUAACUGCGAUUCAGUGAUUGCUUCAAAGCAUGAUGUAAAUUUCUUCAAGCCAACGUCAAAUAUUGAAGAACUGGGGUUGUAUUACAAGAUAUUUAAAAUAAAUCUAUGGUGAACUAAUCAAGUGAAAAAAAUUUCUUCAAUUUCUUGUGGAAAAAAAUCAGCGCAUUAUUAUUUCCUCGGAAAGAUGCAAACCUACAGAAAAUGACAGAGAUUUCUUGGCAAAUAAAAACUCUGAUGACCAAAUAAUAAGCUUGAAGAUCUGGAUGUAGAUGAACAGCACCGGGCACACCGCACACAGGCAUAAGACUUUAGAAGAGAGUAGUACACCUUACUACCUCAGAGCUUUUCCAGAAUUAGACUGGGAGUGUUUGGAUCCAUGGACUAAUUUUUAGUUCAGGUCACAUCGGAUAUUUGGAUACCAAUUAAAAAGACUAAACGUGAUCUAAUUAUAAAACUAAUUGCAUAAGCCGUUGGUAAUUCGCGAGAUGUAUCUAUUAAGCCUAAUUAAUCCAUAAUUAGCACAUAUUUACUGUAACAUCGCAUGGUCAAAUCAUGAACUAAUUAAACUUAACAGAUUAAUCUUGCGAAUUAAUCUUCAUUUAUGCAAUUAGUUUUGUAAAUAAUCUAUAUUUAAUACUAAUUCUAAUUAGUAUCGUAUUCGACGUGAUACAGGGACUAAAGUAUUGUUCGAUGUGACACAGGGACUAAACAGUUUGUGCGGCCGGCUGCUGCUCGAGCUCGCUGGUGGGGGAAGACUUUGACCCGGACUUGGGAGAGAUGCACUCAUUUGUUUUCUUUUCUUAAUUUUUUAACGAAAGACAACAAUACCCCUGUCUUCUUUCUCUUUCCUAUUUGUAGUCUGAACACAAGAAAACAAAGCGAAGUGUUUGGCAUAAAUUUUGUACGCGCAUCAGACUUCAGCAAUACCUGUCAAAGCUCGCUGGCACCAACCGCCUCCCUCGCCUCUGUCGUCACAAUUUUUUGUCAAAGCUUGCUGGCACCAACGAGCCCCGGACCAGCGCUGGUGUCUGAUUGCCUCCAGGCAGUUAAAUACAUUCAGAGUCCAUUCCUGGAGGCUUCAUGGAAGCUUCGUCCUUGGAUUUCUCAAUGCCAGCAACACGGUCUUGAUGUGGAUUUGCAGGUUACAAAAAUUUCGAGGGUUCAAAACCAGGCAGCCCAUCUUCUUGCUGUCAAAAAGCUAGGACUUCAUCUUCUUAUACACAGCUCAAUCCUGUUUGUACAAAACCAAGACAUGAUCCUGCUUGUGCUGCUCUCUCAGCACUUCUUUCUGUACAAUUGGGUCACCUGACCCUCACCCAUGUACACUGCUUUUAGCUCUUGAAUGAAGUUCUUUUUCAAAAAAAAAAAAAAAAAAAACGAGCCCUCUUUACCAGCCACAACUCCUCUACGGGCUCCACUAUCUCCUCGGCCACCACCAGAUCCAUCAACAGCAUCUGACGGCCAUAGUGGCUCGAAUUUAUCAUGCCAAGCAUAACUCGCCCAAUUCAUGCCAAAGAGGCUGGCACACCAAGUGGAAACCUCAUUACUGGAAAAAAUAAAAGAAAUUGAGGUGUGACCGUGGGAGGGGUUUUCUGGUCUUUUAGCAAGCUAUCAUUUUCAUUAUCUCUUCUACAUUUAUUUUAAUUGGGCAACAUAAAACAAUGCCUCACGUCCAGGGGCGGAUCCAGGGCCCGGGCUGCCCGGGCUGCAGCCCGGGGCGAGACCAUGGAGUCCCUUUAACCUAUGUGUUGUUUAGCCUAACAAAAUGAGGUUUAGGAGACAAAAUUAGACUAUUUUAGGUGUGAUUCAACAGCUCAGCCCGGGGCGCAACCCCGUUCUGAAUCCGCCCCUGCUCACGUCGGUAGGGAAUGGCCAAGGUUUGAUUUCUUUCUUUUGUGGGUCUACCAGUCUCAGCCUUGCUUCUGUCUUUUUGUUACGUACAUAAUUAUAAUAUUUUGUUUGGUAGCCAUUAUUGGAGUUUGGCCUAGUCACGAGAUGGCAUAGUCCAAAUAAUCAGACAGAACUUUGUCAACCCCAGAACUCUAUAAGCAGAGCCACUUUUGUUUCUAAUUCCCUAGUUUUGCAUCUGUGGUGCCAAUCCAAGGCUACAUGAUACGGAACGAAGAAUAGAUUAAUAAUAAAAAACAAGGAAUGGAAUAAAGUGGCAAGGAGCAUCAAGGAACGGCUGGUUCACUGCAUUAUUGAGUUGCAUCUCACUGCAGCCCUCCUCACACUGGUACGGUGAGCUCCGGCUGCAGCUGCAAGACGACUAGCAGGUGCGUACUUGCUUCUCUGAAUUCCCGCUUAAUUGAAAGACAAGGCUGAACUCUGAAUUCCUUUCUCUGGGUAUACAUAUGAUCCUCCACAACUGCUUCAGUUUAUUUCUUUUUUGUGAACGUCCUGUGAGGCUGUGAGAUCUAUCAAAUCGGUUUGGCAACUUUCAUCGCAGAGAGAUCUGCUUCUACUGCCAUGGCAUCCCCAACAUCCAGUAUGGUUUCAUCACAAAACUCUACUACUUUUGCAUCUAUUGGUAAUUGGUUUCGUGUUUCUUUCUAAUUUCGUUCUUUCUUUUUUUUUCAAAAGAUUGAUUUGAUAGGAAGUGGUAGGAAACGAAUUGAAGAGAAGGUUUUCUUGGUAGUACCUGUACAAGGCUGCUAGUCUUGAUGUAGAAGAAUAACGCCAUGAAGGGUUGGACAGAUGACCAUCCAAGGAAGCUACAAUACUCACUAGUUAAAGAGAUUACAAAUAAUUUUGCAGAUGAACUUGGACGCGGUACAUUUGGACGUGUGUUUAAGGUACCCCUAUUAAAUUAAAAAUCUCCUUUGUAAUGUUCGUUGUAAAACAUACGAUGUUUUUAAAUUUAUUUACAUUCAUAAUCUCUGACCUCCUUCUAUCUCUUACAGUGAUUGUGGGUAAACCUUUAAACUAAAUAUCUCUUCUUGCCAAGCUAACAUUUGAACCAGGGUCAUGGUAUAAUUAAAAGUGUAGUUUAUAAUCCAAAGCUCUAUUUGUUGCAUAGGUGUCCUUUGAGCCAUGGGAAUGUCUCCAGAAAAACAUAUGUGGAAAAUAUAUCAAAGAUGGUUUCUGUUUCUAGACCUUAUCAUUAGCAGUUUUAAAUAAAAGAACAAUUUGCAAUGAGCUCAUAUCACAGAAAGUAUUACAAAAUAUAUCGCAAAUGGUUUUUAUGUCUAAACCUUGCCACAGAUACUUAGUUUUGAAAGCAAAACAGUCAUUGGUGGCCUUGAGACUAUCUGUAGUAGUGAAUGUUGGAUGAUAUUGUUGUUUAUUGUCUUAACAUCGGUUAUAUGAGGAUGUGUGCAAAAGGAACCGAGCUAAUCGUAUUCAUUUUCAUUUAUAAUUCUCUGUUACUAUAUAUCAGCAUAGAAAAAACAAAAUUAUUAUGUGUAAUUAAAGAAGGUGUUUAAUAGGGGCUGCUUGAUGAUGGAGAAGAGGUUGCUGUGAAGCUGCUUCGUUAUUUCACGCCUGAGAUCAGUGACCAGCAGUUCCAAAAUGAAUUUGGAAACCUUAAGAAGCUCAAGCAUCCUAAUAUUGUACAAUUGUUGGGGUUCUGCGAUGAACCUGAGGAAGAAAUUAUUGAGCACAAAGGAAAAUUAAUACUUUGCUAUAGGAUACGCAGGGCACUAUGUCUUGAGUAUGUGCCCAAUGGAAGCCUUCGCAAGUUUCUUUCAGGUAAGGUGCUCAUGUGUUAUUGCGUAAUAUUAUUUCGGACAUGUGAAUAAAAAUAUUCUUUGCAUUAUGUAUAUUGAGAAUAUUAUGUUUGUUCUUGUAGGUGGAUGUCUUAGCAAGAAUUGGCCCAUACGCUACAAAAUAAUUAAGGGAAUCUGCGAGGGUCUACAGUACCUUCACAAGAUUCCCAUUUUCCAUCUUGACUUAAAACCUGAUAAUAUACUGCUAGAUGAGAAGAUGUUGCCAAAAAUCGCCGAUUUCGGUUUAUCUAGGCUCAUUGGUGAAGGGAACACCAAAAGGACAAUGACGCCUCUAGGGACAGUGUAAGAUUAUUGUCUCAUGUGAACUUUUGAUCUGCUAAAUUGUAGUUAUUCCUUAGUCUCACUUUGCUAUGUCAUUUAUGUUCUGCUGCAGUGGAUACUUGCCUCCAGAGUUCAUUGACAAUCAAAUAAUCUCCAGGGAAUAUGACAUAUAUAGUUUAGGUGUUAUAAUUAUGCAGAUAAUCACUGGUGUUACAAGCUUCUCUGAUUUUGCUGACAUGGAGCCCCAAGAAUUUAUUGAACAUGUAAGAAUAAUUUAAUUAAUCUUAAUUUAUAAGCCUCUUAGAUACUAGAACAUGUAAGAAUAAUUUAAAUAAUCUUAAGCGGGUUACGUAUAAUGGAUCGAUUGUUAUUGCAUUGAGCCUCUCGGCUGGUACAUAUUAAGUACAAGAUUUGUGGGGCAAGACUCCUCCAGAUACAUAUGGCAGUCUACAACACGUAUAUCUACAACUACCAAAUAUACUCUAACACUUCGUUUUGGAGAUUCUUAUUGUAUAUAAAGUUGGCAGCACGCCAUGUUGAUAGUCCUGUUGGAACAAUAUCCAUGAAUUUAUCACCAUUUAAUAGCAGAUGCAUGCAAGUAGAGUGUCACUCCAUCAGCUUUCAACCACUUUAGAUUCAAGGGAGAUCUUUCUGUAAAUCACACUGUGGACUCUACAUGUUGUGGUUAUUAUUUCACUCAUCACAUUUGGUCAGAACUCUAAAGUUCAUUAUAGUGCACGAGCCCAUAUAAACGUGACAGGUCAUAACGAUUUACUGUUACAAUCAAUUCCUAUAUUCAAAACAAAACAACAUGUAUUUGCAAUAGGGCGGAGUACUAAAUUCCAUAAUAUUAACCGCCCUUGUACUUGUUUUACUCUGUGUUUUAACUUCAAAGGUACAUGACAACUGGAAAAGAAGUCUAGAAGAGAUCCCAGAGUAUGCGUCACUUGAAGCGGAUUGCAAACAAGUGAAAAGAUGUAUGGAAAUUGCAAUAAACUGCAAGAAGAAGAAGCGUCAUGAAAGGCCUACAAUGGAGGAUAUUAUCAGCAAAUUAGAUGAGAUGGAAACUGUUAAAAUUGACACGCAGUUGUCAAUUAAAAAGGUACAACCUAUCAUUCAUCUUAUAUAUGUAAAAAAUAUAAAACCCAUAGUUUAUUUGUCCCUAAAUAUUACCAGUGGUCGAAAAUAUAUACUUGGCUCUUUAUACGUCCACAUGGCAACUUUCACUAUGUUUUUAAAUAUUUAAGUUGUAAACAGGGAAAAUAAAUUGCUUGAUUUGUGUCGGAAAUAUGCAUAUAUCGGAUAUAAAAGUGAGCAAAAUACUCAUAUGACUCUCAGUAUAUUAAUGUCUCUGUUUCUUGCCACUGUUAAUUUUGUGUAUGCUGUAAUUCUAACUAGAGGUGUGUGCGCGCGUUAGAACUGCAGUUUAAUUUCCCAACCAAACAGCACCUUAGUUUUCUGAUAUAAAAUAAGUCUACAACAGAUCCCAGAGUAUGCCAUCAUGUGAAUUCAUACCGACACAAGUCGAUGAGAUAUCAGCCACGGCCCUUGCAAUCGUAGAAUACAAGACGAAAACAGUAAGGUUCUGUUGGGAUACAGUAUGAGUAUGUUAAAGUUUAACGAGGUGUUAAAGUUUAACACAUGUGGGAUGUUUGGAUGGUCUGUUAAAUUUUAACACCAAAGGUUGGAAUUGACACCAUUGCCCCUCAAUUACUCCUCCUUUCUCUUCUCUUCUUUGCCCCUCCUCAACUUCUUCCUUUACCGCCGAAUCCCCCGGCCCCGCGGCUCCCGCACGGCCAAGCGCUGCCGAUGCCGCACGGCCAGAUCCCGGUGGAGCUCCUCAAUGGCCGCCGCACCGCCGCUCCUCCGCCGUGGUGGCCCCCCGCGUGUGGCGCGUCGACCCAAUGUUCGCCGCGGUGGGCAACCGCGUCGUCGCGCUUGGCGGCGCGUGCCGCCUCCCGCUGGCCGAGGGUGAGGACGAAGUGGUAGUGGAGGUCCACGAGGGCGGUGGGUGGACGGCCUGCGACCCCAUGCCCGACGCGCUCAGGGACUCGGCGUCCGCGACGUGGCUCUCAGCGGCGGCCACAGACCAGCAGGUGUAUCUGGUGGAGAGGGCCACCGGAUGGGCAUGGCCGGGUGGAGGUGGCGGGGCCUGGCGGAGGAGCUGAAUCAGGGGCCGCCAGAUCGGAGAGGGACCUGAGCAUGGCGGCCUUGACUGCCAUGCUAGAGAAGGAGGCCUCGCGCAUGACGCGCGCCAUGGACGGGUCGUCGAGGAUGGCGAGCACGAGGUGAGGCAUGCCGACGCGGAGGAGCUGAAUCGGGGGCCGUCGGAUCGGAGAGGAACCUGAGCAUGGCGGCCUUGACUGUUGUGCUGGAGAAGGAGGCCUCGCACAUGACGCGUGUCACGGACGGGUCGUCGAGGAUGGCGAGCACGAGGUGAGGCACGCCGACGCGGAGGCGGCGGGGCCAGGCGGAGGAGUCGGGGCCGGCGGAGGAGAUGCGGAUGGGGAUGGUGCCGGGAGGGGAGAAAGGGCUAGCGGGGAUGGGAGGACUUGUGGGCGGUGAUGGCGGCCGGGAAGGAUGGACGGCUGGGGGAGCUGGCGGCAGGAGGGGAGGAUGCAAUGCGGGAGUAGCUGGCGGCAGGACAGACGCGAUGGGGCGACCAGGGAAUUGGGGGCAGCGGAGGAGAUAGAGAGGGGCAACCAAGGAAUUGAGGGUAUUAAAACUCACUAGGGGAUCACUUUUAACAGUUUAACAUCCUCUUUAUAAAAUUGGGAGUGUUAAAGUUUAACAAACUCUUUUAACACAUCUGUUUGGAUGGGCAUAUGUUAAAAAAGUGUUAAAAGUGGAGCAUUAAACUUUAACACCCCUAUCCAAACAGGGCUUAAGUUAAGCAGCCAUGCACAGCCUGUGCAGAUAUAAACGAGAGGCCGACGUCUCUGGAAUUAGCCACCGUCUCCUAUGCGAAGGAAUGAACCACGACGAAACAUGAUUAGAUCAGUAGACGUCCGUCUGUGCAAAAUCACUAACAAUGUGCCAAAAUUAAAUUAAUUAGCUUUAGGAUCCGUGCUAUUUUUUUUAAAGGAGCGCCGGAGCAAAAUCCACAAUGUAAUUUUUACUAUAUUUCGUAGGAUGAGCAAACACCAUUUUCCUAAGAUUUGCCAAUUGUUUUUAUUGACAGGGUUACUUUGAAGAAUCCAGAUUCUUAUCUAGUGGCAUCCUGGGCAGGCCAUAUCAAUGUUAGUAAUGUUACAUUUUUUUAGAUCCCUUCAUUUACUAAAUAUUUAAUUUAUUUUUAUUGAAGUUUGAUAUUGAUAUAAUGUAGCAUGCUGUGUGUUGGUGUAAUUGUGUUGUUCAGUACAAUCGGCUGGAGCGGUAAUCCUUGCUGUCACGAAGAUUGGUUCCAUUUUAGGAGAUGAAACCUCCAAGGUUGUUAUAAAUAAGCUGUCUGAAAAAGUUCAAGCUCUGAAGGAACUGCCACGGAAAGUCGAUCAAAUAAGGAUGAAAUUGACAUCAAUGAGUGAUACUAUACAAGAGAUCGGCACAGACUACCUCACAGAUGAGCCUGUCAAUAAUUGGAUCGGGGAGGUCCGGAAGGUGGCUUACCGUGUUGAAGAUGUAGUAGACAAAUACUCAUACCAUGUUUUUCAACUGAUGCAAGAAGGGUUCC
rnacentral:lncRNA from 1 species